rnacentral:lncRNA from 1 species
AUAACACUGCGAUCUCGCAAUCGUGCCGGAAGGAGGUUCCCCAGGCCCUCAACCCCACCCUAUGGAAACCUCAGCUAAAAAGUAAACAUCGCGAACCGGGCACAGCACCUCGGAAACCAGCCCCACCGCGGACAGCGCUCCUCCGGAGGGAGGCCGGGCCUGUUGCGGAGGCUCCCCAGCCCUUGGCCCCGGGGCUACGGGCCACUCCCAGGCAGUCUGCCCGGCGUUUCGGGGGAACCCCACGCCCAGCGCUGCGGGGUUACCUCUGCACCCCGCGCUCGCCGCACCGGUGCAAAAGGCGCCCUCGGCUCUCGGCCGGUAGUCUCCGCGGAAAGUGGGGAGGACUGCGGUGGGUCUGGGGAUUGUUGGAGUGGGGUCAGGUACACCGUAGGGGAGAAUGUCCAAAGUUUAGGGGAGAGAUCGGGGUUGACGGGAGACGCCGAGGGAGCCCUUGUCCGCUGCGAGGUGACUAAGGCCCCAACCCUACCUUCCCAAUUCCUCCCCGCCCCCACGCUAAAGGGGCCGGAAGCCCAGUCUCCAUGGUUCCACCUCCUGCGCCUCGCCCUGUGACGUCACUCCGAGUGACGCCACUACCAUCCAAUGAGCUCUCAAAUCCUGGGACUGGCUCGCGUCCUUCACGGCAGCCGCGCGGAAGGCAACAAGGUCCCCCGCACGAGCCCGCGAAGUCACUUCUGGGUCGGAGUUAGUUGAGGCAGCGUCUGUACUACAGGACCAAAGCUGCGUCCCCCCCCCCCCCCUGCCUGCCCACAUUCUGUAGUCUAGCCAACUCCUCGAGAACUCCUUGAAUGGAGGCCCUACCAGAGUAAGGUCUGAUAGUAGCCUUUGUAACCCAAAUUGGAGUCACUGAUGACAUCACUUUGAUGAUUCCGUUCCUCACCCUUUAGUCUCCGAAACUGCCUAGAGGUCUUGGGUUGGCGAAGGAGGUUGUGAGGUCCUGGUGGCAGAGGGGCAGCACUGAGAAAAAAAAAAAAAAAAAAAAAAAAAACCUUUCUUCUGCGGGGUCGAAGGCUGGAAUGCUUCUGAAAUCUUCAUACGGAAUUUGAUUUUUCUCUUUAAAAAAUGGUUUCAUGUUGUCGCUUAUCAUUAGUUGUGUAGAAAUCUCAACAUUCAAAAAUAUAUUCUAGAGUACUUGUUAAAUAAGAUAGGCAUUGUGGGUUUGAGGACGUUUACGUUCCUAGGGCGGGCAACUAGCCAUCUUGGGAAAGUUAAAGUUCUGAAAGCAUUCUUGUUCCUAUUUAUCUGUUUUUUUUUUUUUCAAUUUCUUUUUAUUUUGCGGGGUUCUUAUGUAACACGGGCUGGGCUGGAACUCAAUAGGUAGUAGCAGAAAGUGGUCUUGAACCCUUGAACCACCUGCCUGCCUCCCCAGUGCUUAGUUACAAGUGUGUACCACUGCAGCCAUCUUUGACUCUAUAUUUUAGUUUGCUUGCUUAUUUAUUUAUUUAGAGACAGGGUUUCACGAUGUAGGCCUGGCUGGCCCAGAACUCGUUAUGUAGACCAGGCUUGCCUUGAACUCACAGAGAUUCAUUUGCCUGGUCCUCUAAAUUGCUCAGAUUUAAAUGUGUGCACCACCAUGCCUGGCUCGAGCUUUCUUCAACUUUUCUGAGAACUCUGAUGAUAAAAUUAUGAGCUGUACAAAAUAGAAUAAGUUUUGAGGGCUGGGCAUGGUAGUGCAUGCCUUUUAUGCCAGUACUUAAUAGACAAGACUGGCAGAUCUGUGUGAGCUCAAGGUCACUCUGGUCUACAAAGUGAGUUCCAAGACAGCCAGGGCUACACAGUGGGAUCCUGUUUCAAAAGAACUAAAAAAGAAAAGAAAAAAAGAAAUGGAGGCCGUUUUUAAUCCUAAAAAAAAAAAAAAAAAAAAAAGUAUAUUUCAACUAACCGAAUGGACUACUUAAAAUAAGCAAAACUUUUCAGUUUGGCCACUAGGGGUCCCUUUGUGCAUGUCAGGCAAUUUUCCACUAGGGGUUCUGUUUCACAGUCUGAUCAUAAAGAAUUGAAAUUUACAAAACUUAACUCCUCCUUCCCCGCCUUGAGACAGGGUCUCACCAUGUAGCCCUGGCUGGCCUGGAACUCACUGUGUAGACCAGGCUAGUCUCGAACUCACUGAGAUCCUCCUGGCUCCUGAUUAAAGAGCUUAUUAUGUCCCAUAAUAAAGAGAUUAUGUCCCAUGCUAAA